GAUGCUAUAUAUAUAGUCUGUCGCAAAGUGUACAUUUCCUUUGAUAACAAAUAGUAGUAGCAAGUCAGUUUAGAUAUACUUUAAGAUGGAAGCAUGUAGUCCAGCACUGGUAGCGCCCUUUCGUUUGUUAUUCCUUGAGCAUAUCAAUCAUUAGUUAUGUACAAACUUUCUAUAUAUGUUAUGAGAUGUUGGAGUGAAACUAAUAAGCUAAUUAUCUUCCUAUACAAGCACUGUGAAAUAAGCUAGCUAUUCUCCCACUCUCUCUUGGGUCCUUGUUAUUCUGCGAGGGAUAGUGGAAUUGUAGAAAGAUUGAGAAUCAGUUUUCGGUUCUCAAGUUCAGACGGAACUUUAUUUAGGAAAAGAGGUUUAAAUCCCCUGGCCUCUUCAUCAAUCGAUGCAUACAUUCGUUUUUAUUAAUUGUUAAACAAAGGCUUGACAACAGUAUACAUCAAGCCAUUCAAAACCAACGAUCACAGCUACAAACUCGAUAAUGUGAAAUGCUUUUACUAUCCAUAUCUAAAGUCGGUCUCAUCUUCGAUUCUUCCGCAUAACAUAGCCCAGGAUCGGGUCAUCUUGCUGCAUUGGUCUCGAAAGCCGAAUCAUCACAGUAGUCAUCCCUAUCCACCCUAGACUUUGGUGGGCCUAUUCACAGACAUGUACCUAUAUGUCGGAUCCUGACAUGUGCUGGACCGUUCUGGGUCAAUGGAACCUGCAUACCUACGUGUAGGAUCGAUGUUCCGUCGAUAGACCCAUUGCCACUUUCUCAAUGCUCCUAAAGAGAAAUGCUCGGCUUGUUUGUUUCACUCCGAAAUCUCAUACUAGGAAAUUGUGUGUACAUAUAUGCAUGGCUACUAAUUGACCGUUUAGAUGAAUCAUGAGUCGUUCUCAACAAACUGGUGAUAAUUACCGAGUAUAUAUUUACUUGUCCAUCAAUAUCUAUAGAAAGCUAAAGUGCUACUGCAAUUUGUAACCGGAUGAAGGAAAUGCCCUUUAUGAUGGACUAUAUAUACCAUUCACAUCGCUCUAGACCAUCUAAUUGCCAUGUAUGCAGUCAUAAGUUUAUCACUGCCCACAUUCACGUAGAUGCACGCUUUAUAUCGUUUCUCAUUCUCUUCACAUGAAGUAUAUGCAUGCAUUCACAACAUUUGCGAGUCUUACAGGAUAUGGAUUUUGGCCUGCCUGACAG
rnacentral:lncRNA from 1 species